UACAGAGGUGGCAAGCGUUGUUCGGAAUCACUGGGCGUAAAGGGCGCGUAGGCGGUUCGUUAAGUCCUGUGUGAAAUCCCCCGGCUCAACUGGGGAACUGCACAGGAAACUAGCGGGCUUGAGUUCGGGAGAGGGAAGCGGAAUUCCGGGUGUAGCGGUGAAAUGCGUAGAUAUCCGGAGGAACACCGGUGGCGAAGGCGGCUUCCUGGCCUGCUCUUGACGCUGAGGCGCGAAAGCUAGGGUAGCAAACGGG
rnacentral:rRNA from 1 species